GAAAAGCACAUGGAGACGUGACACCGACGCAGAAAGAUCGGCUAGUCCUGGACUAUAAUGCAGAAGACCGGAGAGUAUGAAGUUGAGUACUCUGUAGAGUCGUUGAUGAUGGCAUAUGCCCCCCGUGGGGCGACUAAGCAAUCUAUUCUACUCCCACUAAUUGAAGUAUUUCCAGGCUUAUUGCUCAGAUCCCCACCAUUCAGCUGUACUCCCUGUCUGUAACAUGAAUGAGAGACCAUGCUGUUACCCUAAAGACCAUGGAACCGGAACACUUAAUUGUGAUCAUAUCUUCAACAAAUUGAACUUUGAUGGGACACAAUGAGCGAAGGAUGUUGGUGUGUUACUGGGCUUUCUGGCUCAAACAAGUGGCCAUGAUGGUGAGCAUUUCCCCACUGAAGUCGGUUACAACGCCAAACUGCAGUCAGGUCAAGACCCUGGUGAGGACGACGAGCACGCAGAUGAGCUUCCCUGAGACGGUUUCUGACAGUUUGUGCAGAAAUGCUUCGGUUGUGUAGACCCACAGUUUAAUCAAAUGUUCGGGUGGCUGGCCUCAGACACUCCCCCAGGUGAAGAAGCCACAUGUGCUCACCAGGUCCUGGGCUGGCGUGGUUACAUGUCGUCUGCAUUUGUGAGGCAUGUUGCACGUACUGCCAAAUUCUC